GAUGCUGGCUGAGAUCAACCAUUCGGUUUUUGACACAGGACAGCAAUUGUUACUGAAAUUUACCUGGGCCUCCUAAGACCUGGCUUCUUCUUCUGUGGAGAGAGAAUAACAGGAACAUCUGCUUCAAGAUUUUCAUAAAGGUCAACUAAGAAAUGUGACAAGGACAAAGCAAAGGAAUCAGUGACUGCCAAUUGUCAUGUUGCCUGGGACAAUAGCCUAAUUAGACCACCGAAGAAGACUGCAAGGUGGAGAGGAAAUCACCUAGGCCUGAAGACAGAUAAGCAAUUACCAGCUACGGG